UAGUCAAACAGCCUUCAAGAGUGGUUGUGAGAUGGCAACUAUGGAACCAGAAACCACCCCUAUUCCCAAUCCCCUGCCUACAGAAGAAGAGAAAACAGAAUCUAAUCAGGAGGUUGCUAACCCAGAACACUGCAUUAAAUAAACAACCUUUACAGAACAGAUGGGCACUCUGGUUUUUUAAAGAUGAUAAAAGCAAAACCUUUGAUUUAUCUCUAAGUUCGACACUGUUGAGAACUUUUGGGCUCUGUACAACCAUAUCCAGUUAUCUAGUAAUUUAAUGUCUGGCUGUGACUACUCACUUUUUAAGGAUGGUGUUGAGCCUAUGUGAGAAGAUGAGAAAAACAAACGAGGAGGACAAUGGCUAAUUAUACUGAACAAACAGCAGAGAUGAAGUGACCUCGAUGUUUUUUGGCUAGAGAUACUGCUGUGACUUAUUGGCGAAUCUUUUGAUGACUACAAUGAUGAUGUAUGUGGAGCUGUUGUUAAUGUUAGAGCUAAAGGUGAUGAAAUAGCAAUAUGGACUACUGAAUGUGAACACAGCGAAACUGUUACACAUAUAGGGAGGGUAUACAAGGAAGAGUUAGGACUUCCUCCAAAGAUAGUGACUGGUUAUCAGUCCCAUGCAGACACAGCUACUAAGAGCAGCUCCACCACUAAAAACAGGUCUGUUGUUUCCCAUAGGCAACUGCCUCAAGCAAUCAAGAUUUGGGAGCUGAAGGAAAGCCUCUUCAAAAGCAGGAUGGACUGCAUUUAAAUUUGAGUUCCUUCUAAAUGUUGCUAAGAUAUAAGGAAGUUUCAUUAGCCUUUGUCUUAUACUUCUGUAUUCAUAUAUAUAUAUAUAUUUUUUUUUUAGCUAGAGUGUCCAUUAUCCCAAUCAAAGUAUUACAGUACACAUCAUAUCAUCCCCAGAAUCCAUAAAUGUGCUCCUGGCCCACUCUAUAAAAUAGAAUUAACCAUUACAAAAACAUUUGACCCAUCUACAGCAUUAAAAAAAAGAACUUGCAUUUCUAUACCUUACAAGAGAAGGAUUUUGUUUCCAUUCCAUUGUAUGAAGGAGCGUAUUUUACUGGUUUGAAAGAGUAUGAUGCAUAGCUUUCUGGCAAUUUUGUUUCUUUUCACAGCAUUCUCUGUGCUGUACUCUUGCUGAUGGCUGCUAGAUUUUAUUUGUUUCCCUGUUUGAUAACAUUAGUGACUCUGAUUUCAGUUUUUCACGUGUUUUGCUUUAGUUUUUCUUUCUCAUGUAACAUUGGUGAAGAAUCUAGGAAUAUGACAUAAAGGUAGAAUAAACAUUAAUUUUGUGCCUUUUUUGGUAAUUUUUUUUCGUAACUACAAUGCUUUGCUACAAAUUUAUGCUUUUCAUUCAAAUCACUGAUCUAUGUUUGUGUGAUUUCCUAAACUUAGUUGUGUAUUAUAAAAAAUGUAGUACCAUAAUUACAUUCCUAAUUAGAAUUAGUAUGUCCGUCUUUGUAUCUUUAUGCUGUACUUUAACACUUUGUAUUACUUAGGUUAUUUUGCUUUGGUUAAAAAAUUGGCUCAAGGAGAAAAGCGAUCCCACUCAUUAAAACUGUAAAUAAAAUGUG